ACACGGGGAGGCGGCUGAGGCCCAGCAAGAAUUCAAGCUCCGCGGGGGCAGGCCAGCAGUGCUGGGGGACCCGGCGCACCCUCCGCAGCUGCUGGCCCGGGUGCUAAACCCCUCACUGCCCGGGCCGGCGGUGCCGGCGGGCUGCUCUCAGUGCGGGACCUCGGAGCCUGCGCCCACCCGGAACUAGCCGCGUUCAGCCCUGGUUCCCGCCCCCGCCUCUCCCGCCACACCUCUCCACAAGCAGAGGGAGCUGGCUUCAGCCUCAGCCAGCACAGAGAGGGGCCCCCAUAGCGCAGUGGCGGGCUGAAGGGCUCCUUGAGCAUGGCCAGAGUGGACGCCAAGGCUGAGGAGGCGCCGAGAGCCAGUGAGGGCUGCUAGCAUGUUGUCACCUCUCAAUACAUAAAACUACUGGAGGGUGGUUCCAAGAUGGCCAAAUAGGAACAGCUCCAGUCUACAGCUCCCAGCAUGAGUGAUGCAGAAGACGAAUGAUUUCUGCAUUUCCAACUCAGUAGAGAGCUGACUUUAGAGGGAUCAAGAAUAGCUUGCUGGAUGGAAGGAGCUUGGGGCCAGUCAUCAUCUUAAAGGCUCUGUGGCAGCUUGGACUUGAAGUAGGGUGCAC
rnacentral:lncRNA from 1 species